AGAGUUUGAUCCUGGCUCAGAUUGAACGCUGGCGGCAUGCCUUACACAUGCAAGUCGAACGGCAGCGCGGGAGCUUGCUCCUGGCGGCGAGUGGCGAACGGGUGAGUAAUACAUCGGAACGUGUCCGUUUGUGGGGGACAACCAGCCGAAAGGUUGGCUAAUACCGCAUAAGACCUGAGGGUGAAAGCCGGGGACCGCAAGGCCUGGCGCAGACGGAGCGGCCGAUGAUUGAUUAGCUUGUUGGCGGGGUAAAGGCCCACCAAGGCGACGAUCAAUAGCUGGUCUGAGAGGACGACCAGCCACACUGGAACUGAGACACGGUCCAGACUCCUACGGGAGGCAGCAGUGGGGAAUUUUGGACAAUGGGGGCAACCCUGAUCCAGCCAUGCCGCGUGCGGGAAGAAGGCCUUCGGGUUGUAAACCGCUUUUGUCAGGGACGAAAAGGGACGGGUUAAGAGCUAGUUCCGCUGACGGUACCUGAAGAAUAAGCACCGGCUAACUACGUGCCAGCAGCCGCGGUAAUACGUAGGGUGCAAGCGUUAAUCGGAAUUACUGGGCGUAAAGCGUGCGCAGGCGGUUGGGUAAGACAGAUGUGAAAUCCCCGGGCUUAACCUGGGAACUGCAUUUGUGACUGUCCGACUGGAGUACGUCAGAGGGGGGUGGAAUUCCGCGUGUAGCAGUGAAAUGCGUAGAUAUGCGGAAGAACACCGAUGGCGAAGGCAGCCCCCUGGGACGCAACUGACGCUCAUGCACGAAAGCGUGGGGAGCAAACAGGAUUAGAUACCCUGGUAGUCCACGCCCUAAACGAUGUCUGCCGGUUGUUGGGGAUUUCUAUCUUCAGUAACGAAGCUAACGCGUGAAGCAGACCGCCUGGGGAGUACGGUCGCAAGAUUAAAACUCAAAGGAAUUGACGGGGACCCGCACAAGCGGUGGAUGAUGUGGAUUAAUUCGAUGCAACGCGAAAAACCUUACCUAGCCUUGACAUGUCAGGAAUGCUUCGUAAAUGAGGCAGUGCCCGCAAGGGAACCUGAGCACAGGUGCUGCAUGGCUGUCGUCAGCUCGUGUCGUGAGAUGUUGGGUUAAGUCCCGCAACGAGCGCAACC
rnacentral:rRNA from 1 species